AUACGGAGGGCGCAAGCGUUAAUCGGAAUUACUGGGCGUAAAGCGUACGUAGGCGGUUAUUUAAGUCAGAUGUGAAAGCCCCGGGCUUAACUUGGGAACUGCAUUUGAAACUGGGUAACUAGAGUUUAGUAGAGGGGAGUGGAAUUUCAGGUGUAGCGGUGAAAUGCGUAGAGAUCUGAAGGAACACCAGUGGCGAAGGCGACUCCCUGGACUAAAACUGACGCUGAGGUACGAAAGCGUGGGUAGCAAACAGGAUUAGAAACCCCUGUAGUCC
rnacentral:rRNA from 1 species